UAAGGAAUAUUGGUCAAUGGACGCAAGUCUGAACCAGCCAUGCCGCGUGAAGGAUGAAGGUCCUCUGGAUUGUAAACUUCUUUUAUCUGGGACGAAAACGGGAUUUUUAUCUCAAUUGACGGUACCAGAGGAAUAAGCACCGGCUAACUCCGUGCCAGCAGCCGCGGUAAUACGUAGGAGGCAAGCGUUAUCCGGAAUUACUGGGCGUAAAGGGCGUCUAGGUGGGACGUCAAGCGGGGUGUGAAAGCUCCUGGCUUAACUGGGAGAGUGCGCUCUGAACUGACGACCUAGAGGGCAGGCGACGGAGGUGGAAUUCCCGGUGGAGUGGUGAAAUGCGUAGAGAUCGGGAGGAACACCAGUGGCGAAGGCGGCCUCCGAGCCUGAACCUGACGCUGAAGCGCGAGAGCGUGGGGAGCAAACG
rnacentral:rRNA from 1 species